rnacentral:rRNA from 1 species
GGCGGCGUGCCUAUACUGCAAGUCGAGCGACAGAUAAGGAGCUUGCUCCUUUGAAGUUAGCGGCGGACGGGUGAGUAACACGUGGGUAACCUACCUAUAAGACUGGGAUAACUUCGGGAAACCGGAGCUAAUACCGGAUAACAUUUAGAACCGCAUGGUUCUAAAGUGAAAGAUGGUUUUGCUAUCACUUAUAGAUGGACCCGCGCCGUAUUAGCUAGUUGGUAAGGUAACGGCUUACCAAGGCGACGAUACGUAGCCGACCUGAGAGGGUGAUCGGCCACACUGGAACUGAGACACGGUCCAGACUCCUACGGGAGGCAGCAGUAGGGAAUCUUCCGCAAUGGGCGAAAGCCUGACGGAGCAACGCCGCGUGAGUGAUGAAGGGUUUCGGCUCGUAAAACUCUGUUAUUAGGGAAGAACAAAUGUGUAAGUAACUGUGCACAUCUUGACGGUACCUAAUCAGAAAGCCACGGCUAACUACGUGCCAGCAGCCGCGGUAAUACGUAGGUGGCAAGCGUUAUCCGGAAUUAUUGGGCGUAAAGCGCGCGUAGGCGGUUUCUUAAGUCUGAUGUGAAAGCCCACGGCUCAACCGUGGAGGGUCAUUGGAAACUGGGAAACUUGAGUGCAGAAGAGGAAAGUGGAAUUCCAUGUGUAGCGGUGAAAUGCGCAGAGAUAUGGAGGAACACCAGUGGCGAAGGCGACUUUCUGGUCUGUAACUGACGCUGAUGUGCGAAAGCGUGGGGAUCAAACAGGAUUAGAUACCCUGGUAGUCCACGCCGUAAACGAUGAGUGCUAAGUGUUAGGGGGUUUCCGCCCCUUAGUGCUGCAGCUAACGCAUUAAGCACUCCGCCUGGGGAGUACGACCGCAAGGUUGAAACUCAAAGGAAUUGACGGGGACCCGCACAAGCGGUGGAGCAUGUGGUUUAAUUCGAAGCAACGCGAAGAACCUUACCAAAUCUUGACAUCCUUUGAAAACUCUAGAGAUAGAGCCUUCCCCUUCGGGGGACAAAGUGACAGGUGGUGCAUGGUUGUCGUCAGCUCGUGUCGUGAGAUGUUGGGUUAAGUCCCGCAACGAGCGCAACCCUUAAGCUUAGUUGCCAUCAUUAAGUUGGGCACUCUAAGGUUGACUGCCCGGUGACAAACCCGGAGGAAAGGUGGGGGAUGAACGUCAAAUCAUCCAUGGCCCCUUAUGGAUUUGGGGUUACCCACCUGGCUACAAUUGGAAAAUAACAAAGGGGGGCCUAAACCCCGGAGGGCCUCGGAAAUCCC